ensembl:lncRNA novel transcript, antisense to CCDC86
AUUCUCCAGGCUGCAGCAGGGCAAAGGCGGGGUCCCAACACCAUAGAGAACGCCACCCCUGUCCAUGCUGUCCCCCACUUCACCUUUUCUUGGAGCGGUCCUUCCACACUCGCCCCGAUUUGGGCUUCCCCUUCGGGAUUACAGGAAGCUCCUCUUUAUUCAACUUCUUGGACGCUGGGGCCUGGGAUGAAGAACCUUUUCGCUUCUUUGCCCCGAAGCCGCCUGUCACCGUCUCCCCAGCUGGAGGUGGCUUGCUCGGCUCAUGCUGACCCCGGGGGGAGCCAGGUGCCCUGGGUGUCAGCUCCAGUAGUGGCUGAGAGGGCUCCGGACCGGGAGCUUGCUGACCGGGGUGUCAUGAAGAGGUACAACAGGGAAGAGGGCAAUCAUGGUCCCUGCCUUAGUGGAUCUUACGGCAUCUUGGGGGCACAGAUAAUAAACACCUGAAUCUGAAAAUUAUCCUUUGAGGAAGGCUGAGCAAGAAUUAAUUCCCCCAUUUUACAG